CGCGUAGGCGGUUCGUACAGUCAGACGUGAAAUUCCCGGGCUCAACCUGGGGGCUGCGUUUGAUACGUACGGGCUUGAGUUCGGAAGAGGGUCGUGGAAUUCCCAGUGUAGAGGUGAAAUUCGUAGAUAUUGGGAAGGACACCGGUGGCGAAGGCGGCGACCUGGUCCGAUACUGACGCUGAGGCGCGAAAGCGUGGGGAGCAAACA
rnacentral:rRNA from 1 species